UACGUAGGGUGCAAGCGUUGUCCGGAAUUAUUGGGCGUAAAGAGCUCGUAGGCGGUUCGUCACGUCGGCUGUGAAAUCCCGAGGCUCAACCUCGGGUCUGCAGUCGAUACGGGCGGACCUGAGUACUGCAGGGGAGACUGGAAUUCCUGGUGUAGCGGUGAAAUGCGCAGAUAUCAGGAGGAACACCGGUGGCGAAGGCGGGUCUCUGGGCAGUAACUGACGCUGAGGAGCGAAAGCGUGGGGAGCGAACAGG
rnacentral:rRNA from 1 species